rnacentral:rRNA from 1 species
UGGCUCAGAACGAACGCUGGCGGCAGGCUUAACACAUGCAAGUCGAACGCCCCGCAAGGGGAGUGGCAGACGGGUGAGUAACACGUGGGAACGUGCCCAAAGGUUCGGAAUAUUCCCGGGAAACUGGGAGCAAUACCGAAUGUGUCCGCAAGGAGAAAGAUUUAUCGCCUUUGGAUCGGCCCGCGUCGGAUUAGCUAGUUGGUGUUGUAAAAGCCUACCAGGGGAAAGAUCAGUAGCUGGUCUGAGAGGAUGAUCAGCCACA